UUUUUCAGUCUUAAUAAAAUAAUGUUUUAGAAAUUGGAACGAUACAGAGAAGAUUAGCAUGGCUCCUGCGCAAGGAUGACACGCAAAUUCAUGAAGCAUUCCAUAUUUUU